CCUACGGGAGGCAGCAGUGAGGAAUAUUGGUCAAUGGACGAGAGUCUGAACCAGCCAAGUAGCGUGAAGGAUGACUGCCCUAUGGGUUGUAAACUUCUUUUAUAUGGGAAUAAAACAGGGUAUGCAUACCCUCUUGUAUGUACCAUAUGAAUAAGGAUCGGCUAACUCCGUGCCAGCAGCCGCGGUAAUACGGAGGAUCCGAGCGUUAUCCGGAUUUAUUGGGUUUAAAGGGAGCGUAGGUGGAUUGUUAAGUCAGUUGUGAAAGUUUGCGGCUCAACCGUAAAAUUGCAGUUGAAACUGACAGUCUUGAGUACAGUAGAGGUGGGCGGAAUUCGUGGUGUAGCGGUGAAAGGCUUAGAUAUCACGAAGAACUCCGAUUGCGAAGGCAGCUCACUGGACUGCAACUGACACUGAUGCUCGAAAGUGUGGGUAUCAAACAGGAUUAGAUACCCUUGUAGUC
rnacentral:rRNA from 1 species